CCUANGGGGGGCUGCAGUCGGGAAUUUUGCGCAAUGGACGAAAGUCUGACGCAGCAACGCCGCGUGAGGGAUGAAGGCCUUCGGGUUGUAAACCUCUUUUGUCAGGGAAGAUAAUGACGGUACCUGGCGAAUAAGUCACGGCUAACUACGUGCCAGCAGCCGCGGUAAUACGUAGGUGACAAGCGUUGUCCGGAUUUACUGGGCGUAAAGAGCGCGCAGGCGGUCGAUCAAGUCGAGUGUGAAAGCCCCCGGCUCAACUGGGGAGGGUCAUUCGAUACUGAUCGACUCGAAGGCAGGAGAGGGUAGUGGAAUUCCCGGUGUAGUGGUGAAAUGCGUAGAUAUCGGGAGGAACACCAGUGGCGAAGGCGACUACCUGGCCUGUUCUUGACGCUGAGGCGCGAAAGCUAGGGGAGCAAACGGGAUUAGAUACCCGGNUANUC
rnacentral:rRNA from 1 species